GCGAUCGUAGCUCAGUUGGUUAGAGCACCUGGUUGUGGUCCAGGGGGUCGCGGGUUCGAGUCCCGUCGGUCGCC
rnacentral:tRNA from 1 species